rnacentral:rRNA from 1 species
UACGAACUGUGCGAACGUUAUUCGGAAUCACUGGGCUUACAGGGUGCGUAGGCGGCUUGUCAAGUAGGGUGUGAAAGCCCCCGGCUCAACCGGGGAAUUGCGCCCUAAACUGGCGAGCUGGAGUGAGAUAGGGGUGUGUGGAACUUCCGGUGGAGCGGUGAAAUGUGUUGAUAUCGGAAGGAACGCCGGUGGCGAAAGCGACGUGCUGGCCCUCUUCUGACGCUGAGGCGCGAAAGCCAGGGGAGCAAACGGG